rnacentral:rRNA from 1 species
GAUGAACGCUGGCGGCGUGCCUAAUACAUGCAAGUCGAGCGAACGGACGAGAAGCUUGCUUUUCUGAUGUUAGCGGCGGACGGGUGAGUAACACGUGGAUAACCUACCUAUAAGACUGGGAUAACUUCGGGAAACCGGAGCUAAUACCGGAUAAUAUUUUGAACCGCAUGGUUCAAAAGUGAAAGACGGUCUUGCUGUCACUUAUAGAUGGAUCCGCGCUGCAUUAGCUAGUUGGUAAGGUAACGGCUUACCAAGGCAACGAUGCAUAGCCGACCUGAGAGGGUGAUCGGCCACACUGGAACUGAGACACGGUCCAGACUCCUACGGGAGGCAGCAGUAGGGAAUCUUCCGCAAUGGGCGAAAGCCUGACGGAGCAACGCCGCGUGAGUGAUGAAGGUCUUCGGAUCGUAAAACUCUGUUAUUAGGGAAGAACACAUGUGUAAGUAACUGUGCACAUCUUGACGGUACCUAAUCAGAAAGCCACGGCUAACUACG